rnacentral:rRNA from 1 species
ACGCUCGACACCUACGGGAGACAGCAGUGGGGAAUAUUGCACAAUGGGGGGAAACCCUGAUGCAGCGACGCCGCGUGAAGGAAGAAGUAUCUCGGUAUGUAAACUUCUAUCAGCAGGGGAAGAAAGUGACGGUUACCUGACUAAGAACGCCCCGGCUAACUACGUGCCAACAGCCGCGGUAUCUGAGCGGGCGUGGCGAAGGAC